rnacentral:rRNA from 1 species
AAAUUGAAGAGUUUGAUCAUGGCUCAGAUUGAACGCUGGCGGCAGGCCUAACACAUGCAAGUCGAACGGUAACAGGAAUCAGCUUGCUGAUUCGCUGACGAGUGGCGGACGGGUGAGUAAUGUCUGGGAAACUGCCUGAUGGAGGGGGAUAACUACUGGAAACGGUAGCUAAUACCGCAUAACGUCGCAAGACCAAAGAGGGGGACCUUCGGGCCUCUUGCCAUCG